CUGUGAGGUAUCGCAAAAUUUCUGCACGAGCGUAAGUGGCAGCGUGAACCAUGGGAGACGUUGGAAAAAGAAAUGGAACACGAUUCUGCAUGCAAGGAGCUUGGAAGUCACCAAUCCAUCCUAAGAAGUAAAGGGCUAAACAGACAGAAGAAUCAGCAACUCUUCUU